rnacentral:lncRNA from 1 species
GAAACACAACUAAGACCUGGUAGAUAGUGCUGCAGGUUCUGUGGUUGCUGCUUUAGUCUCUGUGAGUUUUGCUCAGUUGAUUUAGAGGGACUUGUUCUCCUGGUGUCCUCCAACACCCUUCUUUCUUACACUUUCUGCCUCCUCAUCCUUGGGCUUCCCUGUGCUCCAAAGGGAGGGCUUUGAUAGAGACAUCCAUUUAAAGCGGUUUCAAGCUAUCUCUCUCUCUCUGUGUAAUGUCUGGCUAUGAGUUUCUAUAUUUGUUUCAGGGGGAAGAUUCUCUGAUGAUGGCUGAAUAAGGCACUGAUCUAUAAGUAUAGCAGAAUAUCAUUAGGAAUCAUUUUAUCACUACUUUUUUUUAAUAAUAAAAAAAGGAGACUAGUAAUAUUUGGCUUUACCCCAGGUCUCCGGGGUGAUAUCUGUUUCUUUUGUUACUGGUUUGUUUGGUAUGGGUUCCAUCUCAUGGUUGUGGGCCUUAAGUCAAAUGAGAUAUUGGCUGGUAACUCCUAUAAGCUUCAUGCCACCAUUUCCCUUGCAUACUUUGAAAACAGAACAUCACUGUAGAUCAAAAUAUUUGUGGCUGGGUUAGAGCUUAUGUUUCUCUUUUUGGUAGUCUGAAGAAUACCUUCUUGUACCAAAGACACUAGAAUAUAGGAAUGAAGGUUCAAUGUAGGCACCAGCUCCACCUCUCCAUGGUCAGUGACUUGUGUGGGUGUUGAUUUCAACAAUAGGGCCUUGCUGUCAGUUUGUGGAGAGCAACGUCUUGGCAAUAGCUUGCAUUGCUGGGGGAUUUCCAUGGUUCUCCUUUGGCCAAUAACUCAAUUGGAUGUAAUCCAAUCUCUGUCCUAGAAGCUUUGUUUAGUGACAAGAGAUGGCCAGUUGGGACUCCAUUUCCAUAUUUUGGAGACUUCACUAGGAUCACCUUCAUAUACUUUAGGAGAUUUCCAUUAUGCUAGGUUUCCAUGGCACCCCUCAGAUACUCUUCAGUUGUAGCUGUCUUUCCCCAUAUUCCCUCCCUCAACCCAUCUCAUCUCUCCUUCCACAUCUGAUCCAUCCAUUCCCAGCCCACAGUCCAUCCAUAAAAUAUCUAAUAUUUCUCUGUCUCAAGGAGAUACAUGUGUUCCCCCUAGGGCUACCAGCUACCACAAAUUUUAAUUCAGUACAAUUAGUAAUAAAUUGUGAAAAAAGGACAGGAUUUUUCUCUACCUUAUUUUUUAAUUAGAUAUUUUCUUUAUAUACAUUUCAAAUGCUAUCCGGAAAGUUCCCUAUACCCUCACCCCACCUUGCUUCCCUACCCACCCACUCCCAAUUUUUGGCCCUGGCAUUCCCCUGUACUGGGGCAUAUAAAGUUUGCAAUACCAAGGGGCCUCUCUUCCCAGUGAUGGCCGACUAGGCCAUCUUCUGCUACAUAUGUAGCUAGAGACACCCAGAAGUAGUUCCAACUGGUAAUAAGAACACAUGCUCCACUAUGUUUCUCUACCUUAUUAAAUAUAUAUUGAGAGUCUAAUCAGGUCAAAUUCCAACAUUUCUGAGAAUUUCCUUGUGGACAAUCCAAAGGAAAGUAUGCGUUGGAAUGAUAGUACAAUUUACCCACAAUACACAAAGACCUCCAUUUUACAUGAGUUAUAGUUUAUAAGUUAGGUUAGUACUGCCUUACAAAACUGUAUCAUAGAUAGAGUGUAGGAUAACCCAAUGAAAACAGAGGUAUAAUAUUCCUUGAUUGUCCAUAUCCUUGGAAUCAUUCUAAUCAAGUCAAUCAUGUCCAACCUCUGUCAAAGAAAUGGCAUAUGCAGGGAGAGGAAAGAGGGGAGACCCUUGAAUCACUUUGACCCUAGCGAGUGAAGGACCCACAUUAUUCACUCUGUGAAAUUGAUGAUGAAAGCAAAAGUGAUUGACAGGUACUGAGGGAAGCCAUUGUUCUUUACAUGAGAUAAUGUGGAUAACAGGUGUUACUGUAUAGCACGAGGAGUCACCUGUACCAAGGUGAUGUAUCUGGGCCCCAUCAGAGUAUGCUCCUCUGGAAGGGGAAGGGGCUCACUGGCCAGCCUGUGAAACUUUAUGGAAUUCUGGAAUUGCAUGGCAUGUGGCAAGUGUGCUGUCUCUUCCUGUGCAGUGACUACCUGUAGAGGCUCAGUGGGUGAGUCCUGUGACUAAACUGAAAGGCUUGUAGAUCUUUAUGUUCGACAGAGUCCUCUUUCUUCCUAGUAGAUUCGUACCACAGAAACUGUACUCUUAAAAUAUUAAGCUAGUAAUUUUUUGUGAAAAGACAUUUCAUGUUGAUAUUGUUUCAUUUUUUAAUAACAUUAAAAUACCACCAACAACCUGGUCUGUGAAAAGACAUUUUGAACUGAAUGCAUUAUCUUUUAUUUUAGAUUUAUGUUUACAUAUUGUUAUGACUGAAAGUAUUAUAGUUACUUUCAUGUGAGUUAAAACUCAACUGUAACAAUUCAUUGACUAAAUAUUAUGAUGGUAGUCAACUUUCACUUGGAAGUGUUAAUUAUUCACCUCGUAGUGCACUCAUAAAAAAGAUUUACCCACAGUCUCCUCGGAGUAGAAAGCAUAUUGUCUCUUGAUAUAUUUCAUAAGCACAUUCUCCCCACACUCGCAGAACAAGGUCAUUAUGCUUUCUCUCCUGUGACACCCAGGAAGCUGUAGCUACUCGCCCUGGGUUGGACAUGCCACGUAUGUUAGAAAUGCUGUGUACUUCUCUUCAGUGUAAUGGGCACUAGAGCCUUUGUGUCGUUGACUCUGUGGGUUAUAGAACAUCUUGAUUAAGCAAUUACCGAGGAUGUUUUAGACGGACUGUAUAGUGCAGAUACACUAUGUUUUGAUUUAAUGACCAUUUCCUUUAUAUUCUUUUCAUUUAAAAUUCAAGAGGC